UUAUGAUGAAAUUAUGUUUAGUUUUAAAAGUGUUAUCAGAUUUCAAAAUUUCUAGAAGUUUUAGUAGUUCAAGAAUUUUCAGAAAAUAUAUAUAAAUAGAAAAAUAUAUUUAUUUGCAAGUUAUCCACUCACUAAGCUAUAAGCUUAUACAUCUUUUCGCCAUUUUUUUAUCAAAUAGCAGCCGAAUUGAGCAGCUUUGGACCCUGUUAAACCAUCGAAUUGAGUUACGUUUCGUAGGUUGUAUGACAUCCUUUUACAAUAUGUGUUCUUUUGGAGUACAUGUAUCUUAAAUAAGAAAAAUUCAUCAUGGGCACAUUACAUAUUUGACGUAUUUGGUGUGUUUGAGGAUUGUUGGUCGUAAAACAAGUAUAUUGAAUUGCCCGCAUUUUAUUUGAAUAGUUUGUAUUCUGAGGGACUGGUGUAUCCUGUUUUAUUUUAUAGGUAUUGAAUUGAGGAAAUUUAAAAAAAAAAAAGGUUAAACUCUAACCUUAAGGGUCCCCCACCACUCCUGUCCUGGAGCAUAAUGAGGGAGGUAAAUCGCAGGUUAUGCCUCCAAGGAUAUAGGGUGGAAGGUUGCUUGUACACUUGCACUUACCCAAGAGCCAAAUCCAUAUUUCAGGAUUCGAACUCUUGACGCAGUAGCUUCAAGUAAAGCUGGAUUUCUCCACCCUCCCCUUUUACCACUUGGAGACGUGCCUUGGGGCUUGAAUUGAGGAAACUUGGUUAUUGUUCAGAUGGUUUUAGUUUAUAUUUUAGAGGAAACUUUGUCAAAAUUUUGUUAAAAAUAUUUUUCAGUCAAGCAAGUCAAAGUUGCCUUGGUGGUGGGUCCAGCGUUUAGCUGUUAUCUACCAUCGGUGCACGACACGUGUAGAGUCCACUGAGAUGAUUCGAGAUGGGUCGUGUCAGUUACCGCCUUAAAAGAGUUGAUAAUCCGUUUUAUAUUUGUUAAAGCUUUAUNCUUG
rnacentral:lncRNA from 1 species